rnacentral:rRNA from 1 species
UGGGGAAUAUUGGACAAUGGGGGCAACCCUGCUCCAGCAAUGCCGCGUGUGUGAAGAAGGCCUGCGGGUUGUAAAGCACUUUCAGUAGAGAAGAAAAGCUCAUGGUUAAUACCCGUGAGUCUUGACGUAACCUACAGAAGAAGCACCGGCUAACUCCGUGCCAGCAGCCGCGGUAAUACGGAGGGUGCGAGCGUUAAUCGGAAUUACUGGGCGUAAAGCGCGCGUAGGUGGUUCUGUAAGUCGGAUGUGAAAGCCCAGGGCUUAACCUUGGAACUGCAUUCGAUACUGCAGAACUAGAGUAUGGUAGAGGGAAGUGGAAUUUCCGGUGUAGCGGUGAAAUGCGUAUAUAUCGGAAGGAACACCAGUGGCGAAGGCGACUUCCUGGGCCAAUCCUUACACUGAGGUGCGAAAGCGUGGGGAGCAAACAGGAUUAGAUACCCCCGUAGUCC